CCAAUAGCGUAUAUUAAAGUUGCUGCAGUUAAAAAGCUCGUAGUUGAAUUUCGGGAUCAUCAUGUCGGUCGUGCCUCGGUACGUACUGGCAUUGUUGGUUUCUACCUUCUGACGAACCAUGAUGUCAUUUAUUUGGUGUCGUGGGAAAUCAGGACUGUUACUGUGAAAAAAUUAGAGUGUUUAAAGCAGGCUCACGCUUGAAUACAUUAGCAUGGAAUAAUGAAAUAGGACGUUUGAUUCUAUUUUGUUGGUUUCUAGGAUCGACGUAAUGAUUAAUAGGGAUAGUUGGGGGCAUUAGUAUUCAAUUGUCAGAGGUGAAAUUCUUGGAUUUAUUGAAGACUAACUACUGCGAAAGCAUUUGCCAAGGAUGUUUUCAUUAAUCAAGAACGAAAGUUAGGGGAUCGAAGACGAUCAGAUACCGUCGUAGUCUUAACCAUAAACUAUGCCGACUAGGGAUCGGAUGAUGUUAAUUUUUUAAUGACUCAUUCGGCGCCUUACG
rnacentral:rRNA from 1 species